CCAAAUAACUAGUACUAGUAUAUACUCACUAUAUAAAGCCGACUUUUUCUCACCGAAUACAUCACAUUGCCUAUCAGCAACUCUACAACAACCCCAAAAAUGUUCCAGAAAUUCUUUAUGUUCGCCGUUAUCAUCGCCAUGAUGGCCAUCGUCUUCACCAACUCCAUGCCCACUGCUGAAGAGGGUGAAGCCGUUGACCAAACUUUCUGCAAACUCUUCUCUACCUGCGUCAACAGCACCGACUGUGCCAGCAACCUCAUCUACAAGACCUGCCGCACCAAUCUCGUUGGCAGUCUGCAGUGCUGCUUGUAAACGAUUCAUUGUCCUGAGAUGUUAUUUAACUUAUUACUGGCAUCACGACGACCCAAGAUUUAAGAGCAAGAUCACGUUUACCGACCUUUCUACUUUUGUUUUCUUUCCAUCUAUGCCUAAGACAAGUCAAAUCUUUAGUUAGGUCUCAUACACCUAUCUCAAUUUAAAAACUUGUCGUUUAUAUCAGAAAAUAAAAAUCCAUUCUUAAGCAUAUAA